rnacentral:rRNA from 1 species
UACGUAGGGUGCGAGCGUUAAUCGGAAUUACUGGGCGUAAAGCGUGCGCAGGCGGUCUGUUAAGACCGAUGUGAAAUCCCCGGGCUUAACCUGGGAACUGCAUUGGUGACUGGCAGGCUUUGAGUGUGGCAGAGGGAGGUAGAAUUCCACGUGUAGCAGUGAAAUGCGUAGAGAUGUGGAGGAAUACCGAUGGCGGAAGGCAGCCUCCUGGGCCA